UACAGAGGUCCCCAAGCGUUGUUCGGAUUCAUUGGGCGUAAAGGGUGCGUAGGCGGCGCGGUAAGUCGGGUGUGAAAUCUCGGGGCUUAACUCCGAAACUGCAUUCGAUACUGCCGUGCUUGAGGACUGGAGAGGAGACUGGAAUUUACGGUGUAGCGGUGAAAUGCGUAGAUAUCGUAAGGAAGACCAGUGGCGAAGGCGGGUCUCUGGACAGUUCCUGACGCUGAGGCACGAAGGCCAGGGGAGCAAACGGG
rnacentral:rRNA from 1 species